UACGUAGGUGACAAGCGUUGUCCGGAUUUACUGGGCGUAAAGAGCGCGCAGGCGGUCGAUCAAGUCGAGUGUGAAAGCCCCCGGCUCAACUGGGGAGGGUCAUUCGAUACUGAUCGACUCGAAGGCAGGAGAGGGUAGUGGAAUUCCCGGUGUAGUGGUGAAAUGCGUAGAUAUUCGCAAGAACACCAGUGGCGAAGGCGGCUCACUGGCCCGAUACUGACGCUGAGGUGCGAAAGCGUGGGGAGCAAACAGG
rnacentral:rRNA from 1 species